GACGAACGCUGGCGGCGUGCUUAACACAUGCAAGUCGAACGAAGAGCGAUGGAAGCUUGCUUCUAUCAAUCUUAGUGGCGAACGGGUGAGUAACGCGUAAUCAACCUGCCCUUCAGAGGGGGACAACAGUUGGAAACGACUGCUAAUACCGCAUACGAUCUAAUCUCGGCAUCGAGGAUAGAUGAAAGGUGGCCUCUACAUGUAAGCUAUCACUGAAGGAGGGGAUUGCGUCUGAUUAGCUAGUUGGAGGGGUAACGGCCCACCAAGGCGAUGAUCAGUAGCCGGUCUGAGAGGAUGAACGGCCACAUUGGGACUGAGACACGGCCCAGACUCCUACGGGAGGCAGCAGUGGGGAAUCUUCCGCAAUGGACGAAAGUCUGACGGAGCAACGCCGCGUGAGUGAUGACGGCCUUCGGGUUGUA
rnacentral:rRNA from 1 species